UGGCCUCCUCCCUGCCUUUCAAAAAACCCUAACGUCCAUUUCUGGGUUUUGGUGUGUUUAACUUGUCACCGUUCAUUCAAGAGUGUGCGCCUAGCAGCAAGGCGACAGUGAUGGGCCUGAGAACGACAGACACAUCCAUGAAAGAAACGAAAGUCACCCUGAUUUAAAAAGCUCUCGACAAAAAUUCUUGACGUGUAUUCAACAAAUUCAACUGACUUCCAACACCAGGUCACGGCAGGUUCAAAGGAAAACAAGCGGGAAGAAGGCAGGACAGGCGGUUAUUAUUAAGGUGGUGGGAGCCCAGAUGACCACGUCUAACUCGAGGGCAGCGGCCAGCAUGAAGCCACAGCAGGAGGAGCCCUAGCUACCCGUGUGCGUCAUCUGGGAUCAAAACUGCUAGUGCGCCAGCCCGACACAACCAACGAAUCGGUGUCGGUGUUAAAAACGACUGCUAACGCUUUUUACUUUGUUUUGGACUAAAGCCAAGACUCGUAAAAGAAAAUCUUCUUUUUAUCUAUAGGAUCUAAUCUAAAUAAAACCAGGAAUAUGUGGGAACACCAAA